rnacentral:rRNA from 1 species
GAUGAACGCUGGCGGCGUGCCUAAUACAUGCAAGUCGAGCGAACAGACGAGGAGCUUGCUCCUCUGACGUUAGCGGCGGACGGGUGAGUAACACGUGGAUAACCUACCUAUAAGACUGGGAUGACUUCGGGAAACCGGAGCUAAUACCGGAUAAUAUAUUGAACCGCAUGGUUCAAUAGUGAAAGACGGUUUUGCUGUCACUUAUAGAUGGAUCCGCGCCGCAUUAGCUAGUUGGUAAGGUAACGGCUUACCAAGGCAACGAUGCGUAGCCGACCCGAGAGGGUGAUCGGCCACACUGGAACUGAGACACGGUCCAGACUCCUACGGGAGGCAGCAGUAGGGAAUCUUCCGCAAUGGGCGAAAGCCUGACGGAGCAACGCCGCGUGAGUGAUGAAGGUCUUCGGAUCGUAAAACUCUGUUAUUAGGGAAGAACAAAUGUGUAAGUAACUAUGCACGUCUUGACGGUACCUAAUCAGAAAGCCACGGCUAACUACGUG